CGUAGGCGGUCAGCACAAGUCAGUUGUGAAAUCUCCGAGCUUAACUCGGAAAGGUCAACUGAUACUGUGCGACUAGAGUGCGGAAGGGGCAACUGGAAUUCUUGGUGUAGCGGUGAAAUGCGUAGAUAUCAAGAGGAACACCUGCGGCGAAGGCGGGUUGCUGGGCCGACACUGACGCUGAAGCGCGAAAGCCAGGGGAGCGAACG
rnacentral:rRNA from 1 species